rnacentral:lncRNA from 1 species
UCUGCUGCUUUAACAAUUUACUCGGAUUACAGCGUUAGCCCGAGUAUCCCUGUAAUUAGUUACUGAAUUUCCAGGGAAAAGUUCAGUAAAGUAUACUAAAGUAUUAAAGUGUUAAUUAUAUAUAUCACAUACACAUUCUUUUAAAUACAGUGUAUACAUAUUAACAAUAAAAUUUCAUAGUAUAAAUCACGUGUUUACGGAACAUCAUUUUGCCUUCCGAAUUUGUGUUCAUCGUCCCGUGUUUACAUCUUUGACCCAGUUAAUUGUACUUGACCUUUUGUGCUGGAUUAGUUACAAAUCAUUGUCCGAAAGCUAGUGCAAAAGGAAGCACAUGUUUGUUGUGAAAAUAAAUUUUUGGAUUAGAUAAAACUUGUUUGGUAAGUGUUAUUUACUAUUCGUUAACGAUUUUGUCAUAGAAACAAAAUAAAUGUAUCUAAAGUGAAAAAGAUUAGAUGUUUCUGGAAAUAUAAUAGAAAGAAUAAGGAUUUUAACAUGUGAUUUGAUACCAACAAAGUGAAC